ACGGGGACAGAGGCCCCUCUGUGACCCUGCCACUGCAGGGGCCAUCCACAAUGGAACCAGGAUGGUUUGGGUGGGAAGGGAGCCUAAAACUCACCCAGCUCCUGGUGGGACAGAUCCUGGUGCAGGCUCUGCAGGAAUCCCUGGCAAUGUCACCGGCGCUGCCGUGACAGCGGAACCGGGGCUGCUUUGGCUCCUCCACGCUCCCACAUGCAGCAGGAGAUGAGGAUGAUGCCUCAGGGAUGAGGAACCCACAUCCUCCCUGGGCGAGCUGUGCCAGUGCCUCCCCAUCCUUUUAUUCGGGAAGGACCUUGAAGGACGGCGGCACGAGUGUUGAGGUGAUGGGAUUUGUGAAAACCCAACCAUUUUCCACUGGAACGCCUCCCCUUUGCCAGCAGAGGUUUCUUCUGGACAGCCCUGGCUCGUCGGCUGCUGCAUUUCUGCCGCUGCCUUCCCCUGCAGUGAUGUAAUGCGGGAGGCAGCACACGUUCCCAGGCAUCUGCAUCCGCAGCACGGGGACACGUGCGGGGACAGCGGGGGGUGAGCCACCUCGGAGAGGGCUCAGCCGCCUUCACCUCGCUGCUCCUGCAGCCCCGUCCCCGGGGACUGCGGAUCUCAGCCUGUGACGCACGGAAACCGGGAGAGUUUGGAGCCUGGGAAUUGCUAAGAACGGGGCUUUUUGCCCGAGCUGGAAGGUGGCUCGUGGAGGCUGAACUGGUUCAGCUCUCAGACCCUGGUUUGGCCCAGCUCUGCUAAAAACGUUCCCUGUUUUGCUCAGAGAUGCUGCUGUGGUUGUCCCCCCUCCCUCCCUGGUUUCUGUGGGGUCUGCAGGAGGGACCUGCACCCUCUCCCUGUCACCCCUUCUCUCCUGUCCCACCCCACUGAAGGGCUGAGGGAGUUCUGUCCCUCCUUCCCCAUGGAUUUGGUGUCCCAUCUUCCCCUUCCCUCUCAAGGUCAGGCCCCCAUCCCUCCUUCCCCCCUUCUCUGCCUUCAUCUUCCUCAGAGGUUUGGGGUCUCUCCCCGAUCCAGACCCUCUCCACCCCACCCAGUUAUCACCUGGCACCUCCUUUCUUGCUUUUCACCACCUUCCCCCCACAUGGCUGCUCCUCUGGGAUGGAUUCCACCCCUUCCCUGCAUCCUGCCUCUUUCCCAGGGGAGGGAGGGGAGGGAGGGAUGCAAGGAUGGCAAGGAAGGGUAAAAGGAAGGCUCAGCUUCAGGGGAAUAAACUUCAGGCCAGGCAGGAAUUCCUGCAGCAGCCUUCAAACCUCUCCUGCAAAGAGCUUUAUGUCCACAAGGAUCCAGCCCAGCAGAGGGAUGCAGCUUCUUUGCCACUACAGUAAAUAAAACCUUUUAUCAUUUUAA